rnacentral:rRNA from 1 species
GACGAACGCUGGCGGCGUGCCUAAUACAUGCAAGUCGAACGGACCUUGCUUGGACGGAGUGGAGUACUUGUACAAAGCGAAGACUGAGCGCUGGUUAGUGGCGAACGGGUGAGUAACACGUAGGUAACCAACCGAUAAGACGAGGACAACUCAUGGAAACGUGAGCUAAUACUGGAUGUGGUAUAGAGAAGGCAUCUUUUCUAUAUUAAAGGAGCUUUUGGCUUCACUUAUUGAUGGACCUGCGGCGUAUUAGCUAGUUGGUAGGGUAGAAGCCUACCAAGGCGAUGAUACGUAGCCGAUCUGAGAGGAUAAACGGCCACACUGGGACUGAGAUACGGCCCAGACUCCUACGGGAGGCAGCAGUAGGGAAUUUUCCACAAUGGACGAAAGUCUGAUGGAGCAACGCCGCGUGUGUGAAGAAGGUUUUCGGAUUGUAAAGCACUGUUGUAUGGGAAGAAUAAGGUAAUGAGGAAAUGAAU